CUUCCCUUUGGAGCUCAUCCAAAGCCUGUUGAAAUCACUGAAUGCUUUUCCAUUGAUUUCAGUUUAUUUUGGAUCUGGUCUCAAGUCAUCUUUUUUCCUAAGGGCAUUAAGAAGUUUGUGGUUGACGGCUGCAGAAUACUCAGUUUGAAGAGAAUGCUCCCUUGUGCAGACCUGCCAUAUAGCACUAGCUUCCUGGCAGCCCCCCCACGCUGGAUAAUGAGGAGAAGCAUGCUGAGGUUCUCGGAAAACCAUACCCAAGAUGCCUGCCCCAGCUCUACAGAGUCCUCUAGAGGGCAGCAGAGAGCAGCCACAGGGCAGCUUGAGAAAGAAGAGGAUGCUAAAGAAUGAGUUCUUCCUUGAGUUGCAGUAGGAGAAGAAGAGGGGCUCUGAGUGCCAGUGUUUCCAUGGAUGUGUGGAAAAUGGAGAAACAACACACACAUUGGGAUGAGGAGGGUUGGCAGGAGGAGGCUGAGAGGCUGAGGCUACAAGUGGAGAAGGAAAACCAACCCCUUACGGCUUUAGCCAAGACCUGCUGUGGGAAGGUGAAUCCACCAAGAAAAGGGGUUUUCCAAGCAGAAGCACAAAGUGCAAGAAAACUCCACGGACCGGUUGUUCUUCUUAGAUUUCCUGCUUCAGACUCGGGAUGUUCAGAAGAAGCUUCUGCUCUUCCAGGGACUUGUGUGAUUUGGGCCAGCCUUGGCGAUUUUGGUUCACCAGGGUAGAGGGAUGUCAAAUGUUUGUUUUAAAUUGGGCAGGGGAUGUGGCACCUCCCAACGAUCCAAACCUCAAUGCAAAACUCUACUGGAACCAUUGAACUUUGCCUGAGUUAUAGUCCAAAUCCCUAAUUUCACACCAGCCUAUUUAGCAAUGGGCCCGACCUUAGUCCCACCCCACCCCACAAGUUUCAGCCAAGUUUGGAUCCUGAACCAGACUUUAGCUCAAGCUCUUCUCUAAACCUCCUCCCCACUGAAGCUGUGGGGAGCACUUUGCUCAGAACUCGGCCCAAGUUCCCUCCAAAGAGUCACAAAUUCUCAACAAACCUGGCCUGAGUUUGAUGUUUUGAUCAAAAUCCUGGAAGCUGGUGAGUUUUUCUCAGUUCAGUAACAGGAUUUUCUCUGCUGUGGUGCUAAACUGCUCUAAUCUGAGUUUUGGUCUCCCCUGGGGCUGGAUUACAUCUGAAUGGAGCCUGGAUUCUGUGACAAAUAAGACUCUUCCUCCCACCUUGUCCCCUGCCCCCGGCUUUCCUCCA